rnacentral:rRNA from 1 species
UACGUAGGUGACCAGCGUUGUCCGGAUUUACUGGGCGUAAAGAGCGCGCAGGCGGUCGUUCAAGUCGAGUGUGAAAGCCCCCGGCUCAACUGGGGAGGGUCACUCGAUACUGAUCGACUGGAAGGCAGGAGAGGGAAGCGGAAUUCCCGGUGUAGUGGCGAAAUGCGUAGAUAUCGGGAGGAACACCAGUGGCGAAGGCGGCUUCCUGGCCUGUUCUUGACGCUGAGGCGCGAAAGCUAGGGGAGCAAACGGG